GAUGAACGCUGGCUACAGGCUUAACACAUGCAAGUCGAGGGGAAACGACGGGGAAGCUUGCUUCCCCGGGCGUCGACCGGCGCACGGGUGAGUAACGCGUAUCCAACCUGCCUCUGACUGAGGGAUAACCCGUCGAAAGUCGGCCUAAUACCUCAUGGCAUCGUCUGCGGGCAUCCAACGACGAUUAAAGAUUUCAUCGGUCAGGGAUGGGGAUGCGUCUGAUUAGCUUGUUGGCGGGGUAACGGCCCACCAAGGCUACGAUCAGUAGGGGUUCUGAGAGGAAGGUCCCCCACAUGGGAACUGAGACACGGGCCAAACUCCUACGGGAGGCAGCAGUGAGGAAGAUUGGUCAAGGGGCGGGAGCCUGAACCAGCCAAGUAGCGUGCAGGAUGACGGCCCUAUGGGUGGUAAACUGCUUUUAGGCGGGGAUAAAGUGAGGGACGUGUCCUUCAUUGCAGGUACCGCAUGAAUAAGGACCGGCUAAUUCCGUG
rnacentral:rRNA from 1 species